rnacentral:rRNA from 1 species
GAUGAACGCUGGCGGCGUGCUUAACACAUGCAAGUCGAACGGAAAGGCUCCUGCUUGCAGGGGUACUCGAGUGGCGAACGGGUGAGUAACACGUGGGUGAUCUGCCCUGCACUUCGGGAUAAGCCUGGGAAACUGGGUCUAAUACCGGAUAGGACGAUGGUUUGGAUGCCAUUGUGGAAAGUUUUUCGGUGUGGGAUGAGCUCGCGGGCUAUCAGCUUGUUGGUGGGGUAAUGGCCUACCAAGGCGUCGACGGGUAGCCGGCCUGAGAGGGUGUACGGCCACAUUGGGACUGAGAUACGGCCCAGACUCCUACGGGAGGCAGCAGUGGGGAAUAUUGCACAAUGGGGGCAAGCGUGAUGCAGCGACGCCGCGUGGGGGAUGACGGCCUUCGGGUUGUAAACUCCUUUCGCUAGGGACGAAGCGCAAGUGACGGUACCUGGAGAAGAAGCACCGGCUAACUACGUG